rnacentral:rRNA from 1 species
UUCCGGUUGAUCCUGCCGGAGGUCACUGCUAUCAGUGUUCGACUAAGCCAUGCAAGUCAAAUGUUCUUCGUGAACAUGGCGGACUGCUCAGUAACACGUGGAUAACCUGCCCUUAGGAUUGGCAUAACACCGGGAAACUGGUGAUAAUACUGAAUAGACCAUUUAUGCUGGAAUGCUUUUUGGUUCAAAGGCUUCGGCUGCCUAAGGAUGGAUCUGCGGCCUAUCAGGUAGUAGUGGGUGUAAUGUACCUACUAGCCUACGACGGGUACGGGUUGUGAGAGCAAGAGCCCGGAGAUGGAUUCUGAGACAUGAAUCCAGGCCCUACGGGGCGCAGCAGGCGCGAAAACUUUACAAUGCGGGAAACCGCGAUAAGGGGACACUGAGUGCCAGCAUAUUAUGUUGGCUGUCCACAUGUAUAAAAACCAUGUGUUAGCAAGGGCCGGGCAAGACCGGUGCCAGCCGCCGCGGUAACACCGGCGGCCCGAGUGGUGAUCACUUUUAUUGGGUCUAAAGGGUCCGUAGCCGGUUUGAUCAGUCUUCUGGGAAAUCUGACAGCUCAACUGAUAGGCUUUCAGGGGAUACUGUUAGACUUGGGACCGGGAGAGGUAAGAGGUACUACAGGGGUAGGAGUGAAAUCUUGUAAUCCCUGUGGGACCACCAGUGGCGAAGGCGUCUUACCAGAACGGGUCCGACGGUGAGGGACGAAAGCUGGGGGCACGAACCGGAUUAGAUACCCGGGUAGUCCCAGCCGUAAACGAUGUUCGCUAGGUGUCAGGGACGGUGCGACCGUUUCUGGUGCCGUAGGGAAGCCGUGAAGCGAACCACCUGGGAAGUACGGCCGCAAGGCUGAAACUUAAAGGAAUUGGCGGGGG